UAGGAACAAAACCGAGGCGUGUUUCCGCACAAUCAGAAGGCGACUGGCGCCUUGUCAACCAGACGCAGGGUGGUGGCGGGAGCCGAACCCGUUUGUCUCUGUACCGCCAGCCAGGGCUGGGCUGACCCUGCAGGUGCCGGCGUUAAUUCAUGUCACACCUCGCGCCUCCAUCCUGCGUGGUAUGAAAACUAGGCGCCAAUUUCGUAAUAAAGACUUGUUUCCGACGAGGCCUGGUUUGGGGUGGGGGCACAGAUCUUCAUUAGGGCCCCAUUCCCGGGCCACGCUCGUUACAGAGCACAGGUACUGGCUAAAUGUGUCCGAUCAUUCAUCAUGAUUUCGCCCUCCACUUUGUCACAGCGUGGGGAUUUAAGGAAGAUAGAUGGUACAAGAUGUUGUCUCCUCCGCAGACGCUUUCUGCUCUGGUCGGGAUUGAACUCGUCUCUCUGGGAGAGUUUAAGCAACUUGGCACCAAAUCUACACUAACAUGGGGGCUGCCUGCCUACCACGUG
rnacentral:lncRNA from 1 species